GGGCUGGGCUCUGUGGUAGAGCGCUCGCCUAGCAUGUGUGAGGCCCUGGGUUUGAUCCUCAGCACCACA
rnacentral:tRNA from 1 species